UUAGGGAACCACUAAUAAGUAGUUAAUGGAUUAAAACAAAAGUUAAGGGACUGAAAGUGUAAAAACUGAAAUAACUUUCAAUUAGUAACAAAAACACACACACCAACACACACAAAGGUGUGUUGGUCGACCAAAACAAAAGGGGCGACCAGGGGUUUUUCAUCAAGCCCUAAAUUCUUCAAAAUCUUACAAAUUGAAGGCCAAUACCUGUUCCAAAUCGAAGUUAGAGCUAAGAUUAGUGAUCCUCACAGCAAGAGGGUUACAAGGAAAGGACGCAGGAGCGUCAAGCGGGCAAGCGAGUGGCGAACCACGUUUGAAGGGCCUACUUUGAAGGUGACGUAAUGGAUCUUACGGAUGGCGGUCGAGCGAAUAAUGAAGAACCGAACACUACAUUUUGAAAGCUUCCGCAAUGUUUUAAAUCUUUAGUACUCUUAUGUAUGAAUUGUAAUUACUUGUUAAACUACUUUUGGUAUGUUUUAACUUAUACACUAGUCGACUAAGGUUGACGUACUUUAGGACUCCGUUAACUGAUGUUAUGUUACUAAAGUAAUAUUUUGAUAAAA